rnacentral:lncRNA from 1 species
UUUCAUCCUCUCAUCGAAAGCCUUAUUUCCAACCUGUGGGCAACCAAAAACAAAAGCCGCCACCGGAAUAUCAUCGGCCACACCAUUCUCAGCCACAUCGAAAGCACUUAUAACCGAUAAGCUAGCUCCCAAGCUAUGCCCGGUAAACACUAUACUUAGAUUUUCAUUUUUAUAUCUCUCUUUCAACUCUUUAAUCUUCCCCAAAAGCUGUGUCCUUGCACUUACUUUUGUAAAAGGUGACUUGGGAUCGUCAGAAAUGUAAAUCGUCAGCCAACCAAGCAUCACUUUAGGCUUCUUCUCACUAUCAUCAUCGCUAUCACUGCUGCUACUUGUAUCAUCUUUUUCCUUGUUAGUACUACUAGUGUUUUCGUUGACUCGCAAAAGGGGUUUUGCAGACUCAAGCUUUGCACCAAGAACAUUAACCCACUCAUAGUCUCUCGUAGUUCCUCGCCACACUACGUAGAUCUCGCGACGACCCAGAGCUUCUGUCCUUUCAUCGGACGUCGUGGCGAUGUAGCCAAUCCAGUUUGAUUCGCGGUCCC